rnacentral:ncRNA from 2 species
UGCGGAUGUACACAGGUACAGUCAUAAAAGGUUUACCGCAAGAAGUCAGCAGAAGCCAUAGUAAUGAAGUGAUUCAUGAAGGGC